AUGCCACGAGUUGGCUUUUUUCUUUUCGCCUGCUUACUGCUGCUCGUCGCGGCAAUUUUGCACGUCGGCGAAGCGUCGAAUCUUUUGGCUGACUCUAAGAAAAGGCCUGCCGGACGCACAUGUCCACCGGGAUACACCCUCAGAAAUGCACAAUGCAGGCGUACUCAUCAUUAUGGAAGAUAAAUUCUGCAAGGAGUUUUGGCCGCUGAGCUUUUCCCUGGAAGUGGCCACUUGAUUGAAAUUUAAACAAUAAAUUGUAGUCGGCAUUUUUUAAAUAAAAUUUGUUCAAUUUAAAUUAAUUUAUGAAUAAUUUAAA